CUAUACAUGACUCUGCGCAUAUCAAUAAGCGGAGGAAAAGAAACUAACAAGGAUUCCCUUAGUAACGGCGAGUGAAGCGGGAAGAGCUCAAAUUUGAAAUCUUCAAGGUUCUACCUUGACGAAUCGUAGUUUAUAGAAGUGUUUUCUGUUAGUAGAGUGGCAAAAGUUCUUUGGAAUAGGACAUCAUAGAGGGUGAGAAUCCCGUAUUUGGUCAUUCUUUCUAGCUUUGUGAUACACUUUCAACGAGUCGGAUUGUUUGGGAAUGCAGUCCAAAAUGGGUGGUAAAUUUCAUCUAAAGCUAAAUAUUGGCGAGAGACCGAUAGCGAACAAGUACCGUGAGGGAAAGAUGAAAAGAACUUUGAAAGGAGAGUUAAACAGUACGUGAAAUUGUCAAAAGGGAAGCGCUUGACACCAGUGUUGUUUAGUUGAAAAUCAAUUCAAUAAUUUUUGAUUUUGAGUAGUAUUGACUUCAUUAGCUUGCUGCUUUCUUUUCGGAAAUUAUCGAAUGCACUUUUCAGUUAACAAGUCAACAUCAAUUUCUUUUGCUGUAAAAGGGUAAGAGGAAGGUGGCUUACGCUUCGGCGUAAGUGUUUAUAGCCUUUUACCUCUGCAAUCGGAGAGAUUGAGGACAGCAGCGUAGACUCUUCGGGGUUAGAUACACUUGUGCUAAGCUAUAGCCUUGUAUAGACAACUUGUUGACUAUGCUCAGUCAUGUAGCUUACUCGCUUGUGCUAUUUUACCUACGCUUAGGAUGUUGAAGAUAUGCGCGACACGACCCUAUACAUGACUCUGUGCAUAUCAAUAAGCGGAGGAAAAGCAUAACAUGUAUACCUACGCUUAGGAUGUUGAAGAUAUGCGCGACACG
rnacentral:rRNA from 1 species